rnacentral:rRNA from 1 species
GUGGGGAAUAUUGGGCAAUGGACGCAAGUCUGACCCAGCAACGCCGCGUGAAGGAAGAAGGCUUUCGGGUUGUAAACUUCUUUUAAGGGGGAAGAGUAGAAGACGGUACCCCUUGAAUAAGCCACGGCUAACUACGUGCCAGCAGCCGCGGUAAUACGUAGGUGGCAAGCGUUGUCCGGAUUUAUUGGGUGUAAAGGGCGUGUAGCCGGGAAGGCAAGUCAGAUGUGAGAUCUGGAGGCUCAACCUCCAAACUGCAUUUGAAACUGCUUUUCUUGAGUAUCGGAGAGGUAAUCGGAAUUCCUUGUGUAGCGGUGAAAUGCGUAGAUAUAAGGAAGAACACCAGUGGCGAAGGCGGAUUACUGGACGACAACUGACGGUGAGGCGCGAAAGCGUGGGGAGCAAACAGGAUUAGAUACCCGUGUAGUCC